ensembl:lncRNA
CAUCACUGGAAGUGAAACUUAGAGACAUAGGAAGUAAAAGCUGGAACUGGGGUUGCACGGCUGCUAGGUUAAGACAAAGGGGGACUUUAAAGAGACAAGUAUUUCUACACUCCUUCCUGCCUUUACAACAAAGACUGUCUGUCUUCCUCUGCCUCACAUGAAUUGAUGCAUUUGUCGGGUAACAGUCAUUUGUAUUGAAGUGAUAAAAGUGUGGUCUGGGAAACCAGCGGCGUAACAGGCCUUCUGUAUUACACACACAGUUUUUUAGAACAGUUUGAAGUACGGCUUAAUUUCUCUGUCUCACAUGAAUGAUGUAAUCUGUCCCACCCACGUUAAGGGCAUAAAUAUCAUGUGUGCUAAGUCAUGUAGUCUAAUAUCACUGCAGCACAGGACAGAGGACAGACAGACAUGUAGUCACUGCAGCACAGGACAGAGGGAGGACAGACAGACAGACAUGUAGUCACUGCAGCACAGGACAGAGGACAGACAGACAGACAGACAUGUAGUCUAAUAUCACUGCAGCACAGGACAGAGGACAGACAGACAUGUAGUCACUGCAGCACAGGACAGAGGGAGGACAGACAGACAGACAUGUAGUCACUGCAGCACAGGACAGAGGACAGACAGACAGACAGACAUGUAGUCUAAUAUCACUGCAGCACAGGACAGAGGACAGACAGACAGACAGACAUGUAGUCUAAUAUCACUGCAGCACAGGACAGAGGACAGACAGACAGACAGACAGACAUGUAGUCUAAUAUCACUGCAGGACAGGACAGGGGGAGGACAGACAGACAGACAGACAUGUAGUCUAAUAUCACUGCAGCACAGGACAGAGGACAGACAGACAGACAGACAUGUAGUCUAAUAUCACUGCAGCACAGGACAGAGGGAGGACAGACAGACAGACAGACAGACAGACAUGUAGUCUAAUAUCACUGCAGCACAGGACAGAGGACAGACAGACAGACAUGUAGUCUAAUAUCACUGCAGCCCAGGACAGAGGACAGACAGACAGACAUGUAGUCUAAUAUCACUGCAGCACAGGACAGAGGGAGGACAG